UACGAAGGGGGCUAGCGUUGCUCGGAAUCACUGGGCGUAAAGGGUGCGUAGGCGGGUUGGUAAGUCCGUGGUGAAAUCUCCAAGCUUAACUUGGAAACUGCCGUGGAUACUAUCAAUCUUGAAUAUCGUGGAGGUAAGCGGAAUAUGUCAUGUAGCGGUGAAAUGCUUAGAUAUGACAUAGAACACCAAUUGCGUAGGCAGCUUACUACACGAUCAUUGACGCUGAGGCACGAAAGCGUGGGGAGCAAACAGG
rnacentral:rRNA from 1 species